GACGAACGCUGGCGGCGUGCUUAACACAUGCCAGUCGAACGGAAAGGCCCUGCUUGCAGGGUACUCGAGUGGCGUACGGGUGAGUAACACGUGGGUGAUCUGCCCUGCACUUCGGGAUAAGCCUGGGAAACUGGGUCUAAUACCGGAUAGGAGCCAUUUUUAGUGUGAUGGUUGGAAAGUUUUUUUCGGUGUAGGAUGAGCUCGCGGCCUAUCAGCUUGUUGGUGGGGUAAUGGCCUACCAAGGCGGCGACGGGUAGCCGGCCUGAGAGGGUGGACGGCCACAUUGGGACUGAGAUACGGCCCAGACUCCUACGGGAGGCAGCAGUGGGGAAUAUUGCACAAUGGGCGCAAGCCUGAUGCAGCGACGCCGCGUGGGGGAUGACGGCCUUCGGGUUGUAAACUCCUUUCGCUAGGGACGAAGCUUUUUGUGACGGUACCUAGAUAAGAAGCACCGGCUAACUACGUG
rnacentral:rRNA from 1 species